rnacentral:rRNA from 1 species
UACGUAGGGAGCAAGCGUUGUCCGGAAUCAUUGGGCGUAAAGCGCGCGUAGGCGGCCCGGUAAGUCCGUUGUGAAAGUCAAAGGCUCAACCUUUGAAUGCCGAUGGAUACUGCCGGGCUAGAGUCCGGAAGAGGCGAGUGGAAUUCCUGGUGUAGCGGUGGAAUGCGCAGAUAUCAGGAGGAACACCAAUAGCGAAGGCAGCUCGCUGGGACGGUACUGACGCUAAGGCGCGAAAGCGUGGGAGCGAACAGG